rnacentral:rRNA from 1 species
GACGAACGCUGGCGGCGUGCCUAAUACAUGCAAGUAGAACGCUGAAGCGAGGAGCUUGCUCUUCUUGGAUGAGUUGCGAACGGGUGAGUAACGCGUAGGUAACCUGCCUUGUAGCGGGGGAUAACUAUUGGAAACGAUAGCUAAUACCGCAUAACAAUGGAUGACACAUGUCAUUUAUUUGAAAGGGGCAAUUGCUCCACUACAAGAUGGACCUGCGUUGUAUUAGCUAGUAGGUGAGGUAACGGCUCACCUAGGCGACGAUACAUAGCCGACCUGAGAGGGUGAUCGGACAAACUGGGACUGAGACACGGCCCAGACUCCUACGGGAGGCAGCAGGAGGGAAUCUUCGGCAAUGGGGGCAACCCUGACCGAGCAACGCCGCGUGAGUGAAGAAGGUUUUCGGAUCGUAAAGCUCUGUUGUAAGUCAAGAACGAGUGUGAGAGUGGAAAGUUCACACUGUGACGGUAGCUUACCAGAAAGGGACGGCUAACUACGUG